GAAGCCAGGAGAGAGAGGCAGGAAUUCCAUCCUGGAUAAACCCAGCUUGGGAUAAACCAGGAACUGGGAUAAACCCAGCUUGGGAUAAACCAGGAACUGGGAUAAACCCAGAUUUGGGUAAAACAGGAAUUGGGAUAAACUCAGCCUGGGAUGAACCAGCAAUCCCAACCCUGCCCGAAUCCAGCCUUGGAUAAAACAGGAAUCACGAGAAUUGGGAUAAACCCAGGUUUGGAUAAACCAGGAAUUGGGAUAAACCCAGGUUUGGCUAAACCAGCAAUCCCAACCCUGCCCAAAUCCAGGUUUGGAUAAAACAGGAAUUGGGAUAAACCCAGGUUUGGAUAAAACAGGAACUGGGAUAAACCCAGCUUGGGAUAAACCCAGCUUGGGAUAAAACAGAAAUUGGAAUAAACCCAGCUUGGGAUAAAACAGGAACUGGGAUAAACCCAGGUUUGUAUAAAACAGAAAUUGGAAUAAACCCAGAUUUGGUUAAAACAGAAAUUGGGAUAAACCCAGCUUGGGAUAAAACAGAAAUCCCAGGAAUUGGGAUAAACCCAGCUUGGGAUGAACCAUCAAUCCCAACCCUGCCCAACCCCAGGCCGUGCCCCACCUGCCGUGCCCCACCGCACCCCUC